rnacentral:rRNA from 1 species
AUUGAACGCUGGCGGCAGGCCUAACACAUGCAAGUCGAGCGGAUGAGUGGAGCUUGCUCUAUGAUUCAGCGGCGGACGGGUGAGUAAUGCCUAGGAAUCUGCCUGGUAGUGGGGGACAACGUUUCGAAAGGAACGCUAAUACCGCAUACGUCCUACGGGAGAAAGCAGGGGACCUUCGGGCCUUGCGCUAUCAGAUGAGCCUAGGUCGGAUUAGCUAGUAGGUGAGGUAAUGGCUCACCUAGGCGACGAUCCGUAACUGGUCUGAGAGGAUGAUCAGUCACACUGGAACUGAGACACGGUCCAGACUCCUACGGGAGGCAGCAGUGGGGAAAUAUUGGACAAUGGGCGAAAGCCUGAUCCAGCCAUGCCGCGUGUGUGAAGAAGGUCUUCGGAUUGUAAAGCACUUUAAGUUGGAGGAAGGGCAGUAAGUUAAUACCUUGCUGUUUUGACGUUACCAAC